rnacentral:rRNA from 1 species
UAAGCAAAUAGUGAAAUCGUGUGGCUCAACCAUACACCCAUUAUUUGAACUGGCAAGCUUGAGAGCGAGAGAGGUUACUAGAAUUCCUAGUGUAGGAGUGAAAUCCGUAGAUAUUAGGAGGAAUACCGAUGGCGUAGGCAGGUAACUGGCUCGUUUCUGACACUAAGGCACGAAAGCGUGGGGAGCAAACGGGAUUAGAUACCCCGGUAGUCCACGCUGUAAACGAUGGAUGCUA